rnacentral:misc_RNA from 1 species
GAGAGAGAGAGAAUUUUUGAAAUAGCCAGUAUAGUAAAAUUUGGGAUACAUUUCUUAUGAUUUUAGCAGCAUUUUGUUGUUUUGAUUACAAUUUGGCUAUUUUGGUCUCUUUGUGUAAAUGUAAGGUUUAAGUACUAAGCCAAGUUUUAGUAUUUUAAGUCAAUGAGUCUCUUUGGUUGUGAAACAAGGACUAGGUAACCCAAAAAGGUUCCCUUCUAGUGUUGGAUCUAAACUUUGGUUCAAAAAUGAAAAAUGAAUAAACAAAGUAAAGGCAAACAGGGUAAAGGUUCGAGAGGCAAUAUAGGCUGCUUAAAAUGAGCUCGGUCAUAAGAUUAAAUGAAUGGAAAGAAAAAAAAAAAGAAGUUAAUGUUAGCCUGUAACCCUUAGAAUGUUAAUAAAAAUGUAUGCAGACCAAGCUCCAAACUUAACACCAAUGGGAACAGGGUUGCAUGAGAAUGAAAAAUGUAUGUGAUAGUAAGGUGAAACACAGUGUGAUAGUGUGCUUGAUCAGAGAAAGGCAUAGGUAUGUGAGGAGUGAGUCAUGUCAGUAUAGUUGCCUAGAGGAGGGCAUAAUUGCUAAUAUAGGCAGAAUGCCAGAUAAAUGUCUUAUUAGGGCAUGAUUUUUGCCUAAGUAUCAUAGAUAGUUCAGAGGUCUAGGACCCUACUCAUACUUCUAAAUGUUGACACUGUAAGCUGCAGAUUAUAGUUUCAACAUGAGGGAGUUGGGCUGAGCAUGCCACUUGGUAGCAUCCAAGGAGGAUGCAUGUAUAGUUAGUUCCCACCAUAGUAUAGUUCUGCUUAGAGCUUGAGAACUCUUGCAAAGGAGUUAGAAACUCUAACCCUCGAGGUAGAAAGUUGAAAAUCACUGAAGGUAAAAGAGAGAUUGAGUGACCUUGUCACUUUAAGGGGGAACUUUUGGUCUCUAGUAUGAGGCCCUUGAUAAGUCUAGACUAUGAUAGUUAUUUUGCUCAAGUGCUAGUAGGAAUAAUACCCACUUGUAUGUUAGUAACAUGUAGAGUAUCUCUUUACUCUCUAAGGAAUGGCACGAAGUUAUGAACAGUGUUCAUAACUCAUAAAAUGAUAUCACAAAUGGAAUAGCAAAAUGAUUAAAAAGUAGUUGCCUAAGGUGCCCCAAUGAGGGUAUAAGUUUAAGAGGAGAGUAGAAAGAGAUACCAUGUUAUGAAUGGAGUAAAGCUGUGAAGCUUAAUGGAAGGUUUAGGUACCCAGUACCCUGAAUUAUGAUUGUUUAAGUAUAAAGAUGGGAGUUAGGGUGGUUAAGGCUCGAGUCCAAUUGAGUGAAAAGCUCAAGUAUCAGUAGGAAUGUGAGUUAAAGUGGACAAAAGUUCAAUAAUGAGUAUGCAAAUGAUGGGAACAACCUAACAGAUACCAUAUUAAGAUAAAAUCAUUAAGUGGGAUUAUCAGGGUAGAAGACAAAGAAUGGAAUUAAGGGAAGAAGUAGUUAAGUACUAUGCUAGGUAAGAUAAGUGAGGUGAACUAAGAGAGAGAAUAAGAUUGGAAGACCUAAAACAGGAUAUGGUUAGGGAGAACAUGGGGCAAGGAUGCUAGUAAGUCAAGUACACACACCCCAAAAUCCAAUGUGUUGGUGGUGUGGAGAUGUCAGCUUCUAAUAAAGUAGAAACAAAAAGCUUAUGAGCAGAAUAAGAGGGCUUAGAAAAGAACUAUUUUGCUAGAAGGUGCGGGACAUGGACCAGGGCCUCUUAGUACUUUGAUCAUAAGGUAAAGUGGGUAACAAUGGGACAAAAUUCCCAUUAGUCUAUGAUAGAGUCAAAAAGUUAAGCAAGAAAUGCACUUAGAGUGUAUAGAAGUGAAAGUGUAUGUAAUGGUGUCUUGAACUGUUAGAUGAGGCAUUGAAGUGGAUCUGGUGGGUAGUAAGAUGAAAAGAGGUCAAUCUAAUGAUUCAUAUAUAUAAGAGAGAAGAAGGAAGGAAUAGAGGCACAGAGCCUUAAGUUGAAGUGCAAAAAUAUCAAGGAUUGUAGUCAAGUUUAGAAAUCAUAAGUGCAGUAUCUGGACUAGAUUACAUGAAGUUCUAAUAAAGUUACAAAAUGGAGUUAUCAUUAGUAAGUGAAACCCCAUUGAUGGUGAUAAUUAAAGGAACACCUGGAGUAACAAAAUAGUAGUAGGAGAUAUAACAAACAAGUGGAAAAUAGAAGUGCUAGUCCUAGAUCACUAAGAAAAACAAGGACUUGAGCUAUGGCAUUAGAUAUGAUGGGAAUUGACUCUAGGAAACUAGAUGGUAAGAAAUUAUCUCUAGGAUGUAGAAAGAAACAAGAAUAUAAGGGCUUAGUGAGCAUAAGUUCGACAUCCAAAAGGUGGAACUUUGGCAAUCAAACCCACAUGAACAAUUGUGUGAACAGUAGUGUAAAUAGUCACAUGAAUAGUGAGCACCUUCAUAAGUUGAAAGUCUAUAUUUCGGCUAUCGAAAUGGUCCUGCUUGCACUAUGAAACUUUAUGCAGUUUUGUUGAACCCUAUACAUGAUGCUACUUUAGCGGAUAGAGAUUUGGAGGUUCUGUGGGUAGCAUUCCCCAUAAUUUUGUAAGGUUCACCAUUUAAGUGAAGGUGAUACUGAGGGUGAAAGAAUAAUCAGAAUGGUGACAAGGAAUAGCUAAAGCUAGUUAUUAGGGCUUUUAGUCCCUUUUAACUAAGAGAAGGAGAAAAGAAUAACAUAUUUGA